AAAAAGUUUGAUUCUUGCUUAGGUUUUUAUUUUAUAAUUAAAAUAUACAUGUAAAUUUUAGUGUGUUUAUAUAUUUUAAAUUUAUAUUAAUUUUUGUGUGGGUAAUAAAUUUAUAAUACGUUUGAGCGCAGUAUGUAAUAUUAAUAAUUAAUUAGAAUUAGAAUUAGCAUUCUAUAUAAGAUCUGAUAAAAAUUUGUGCCAGCCACCGCGGUUAUACUUAGGAGCUGAGUGAAAGAUUUUUAGUUUAGCAGUUAGAUUUUAACUUACAAGUAAGAGUUUGCGUUUAUAAAAGGUGAAAUUAGUGUAUAAAUAGUAAACUUACAUAUAGUAAAGGGGUAUUGAAGCUGAAAAAUCUUAGGGUUAAAAUAGGAUUAGAUACCCUAUUAUACUAAGUUGAAAUAUAGAUUACUUGAAGAUUAUUAGUUAUAUUCUUUAAAUUCAAAGAAUUUGGCGGUGCUUUAGUCCGGUUAGAGGAACCUGUUUCUGGUGAACGAUAAACCACGUAGGAUCUUACUUUUUUUAUUUAGUUUGUAUACCGUCAUUAUUAGGUGAUUUUUAAAAAAUUAAUCAUUAAAAUAGAGUCAUGUACUAGUAUAUUAGAUCAAGGUGCAGCCUAUAAGAAAGUGGGAAUGGGUUACAAUAAAUUUUAUUUAAAUGAAGGCAGGCUGGAAUUUAGUCUGGUGAAGGUGGAUUUAAUUGUAGUUAAAGUUUAAUAAGCUUAAAAGAUAUUGGCUCUAGAGUAUGUACAUAUCGCCCGUCACUUUCGUUUUAAAAUGAUAUAAGUCGUAACAUAGUAGAUGUAUUGGAAAAUACAUCUAGUUGUAAU
rnacentral:ncRNA from 1 species